UACGAAGGGUGCAAGCGUUAAUCGGAAUUACUGGGCGUAAAGGGUGCGUAGGCGGUUGUUUAAGUCUGUUGUGAAAUCCCCGGGCUCAACCUGGGAAUGGCAAUGGAUACUGGACGGCUAGAGUGUGUCAGAGGAUGGUGGAAUUUCCGGUGUGGCGGUGAAAUGCGUAGAGAUCGGAAGGAACAUCAGUGGCGAAGGCGGCCAUCUGGGACAACACUGACGCUGAAGCACGAAAGCGUGGGGAGCAAACAGG
rnacentral:rRNA from 1 species